rnacentral:rRNA from 1 species
AGCGAACGCUGGCGGCAGGCCUAACACAUGCAAGUCGAACGGAUCCUUCGGGAUUAGUGGCGGACGGGUGAGUAACACGUGGGAACGUGCCCUUUGGUUCGGAACAACUCAGGGAAACUUGAGCUAAUACCGGAUGUGCCCUUCGGGGGAAAGAUUUAUCGCCAUUGGAGCGGCCCGCGUCUGAUUAGCUAGUUGGUGAGGUAAAGGCUCACCAAGGCGACGAUCAGUAGCUGGUCUGAGAGGAUGAUCAGCCACAUUGGGACUGAGACACGGCCCAAACUCCUACGGGAGGCAGCAGUGGGGAAUCUUGCGCAAUGGGCGAAAGCCUGACGCAGCCAUGCCGCGUGAAUGAUGAAGGUCUUAGGAUUGUAAAAUUCUUUCACCGGGGACGAUAAUGACGGUACCCGGAGAAGAAGCCCCGGCUAACUUCGUGCCAGCAGCCGCGGUAAAAC